rnacentral:rRNA from 1 species
GACGAACGCUGGCGGCGUGCUUAACACAUGCAAGUCGAGCGGAAAGGCCCUUUCGGGGGUACUCGAGCGGCGAACGGGUGAGUAACACGUGAGUAAUCUGCCCUUGGCUUUGGGAUAACUACCGGAAACGGUGGCUAAUACCGGAUACGACCAAUCACUGCAUGGUGUGUUGGUGGAAAAGUUUUUUCGGCCAGGGAUGUGCUCGCGGCCUAUCAGCUUGUUGGUGGGGUAAUGGCCUACCAAGGCUUCGACGGGUAGCCGGCCUGAGAGGGUGACCGGCCACACUGGGACUGAGACACGGCCCAGACUCCUACGGGAGGCAGCAGUGGGGAAUAUUGGACAAUGGGCGGAAGCCUGAUCC